rnacentral:rRNA from 1 species
UACGUAGGGUGCGAGCGUUGUCCGGAAUUACUGGGCGUAAAGAGCUCGUAGGUGGUUUGACGCGUUGUUCGUGAAAACUCACAGCUUAACUGUGGGCGUGCGGGCGAUACGGGCAGACUGGAGUACUGCAGGGGAGACUGGAAUUCCUGGUGUAGCGGUGGAAUGCGCAGAUAUCAGGAGGAACACCGGUGGCGAAGGCGGGUCUCUGGGCAGUAACUGACGCUGAGGAGCGAAAGCCGUGGGGAGCGAACAGG